GACGAACGCUGGCGGCGUGCUUAACACAUGCAAGUCGAACGAUGAACCCGGAGCUUGCUCCGGCGGAUUAGUGGCGAACGGGUGAGUAACACGUGAGUAACCUGCCCUUGACUCUGGGAUAACUGCGGGAAACUGUAGCUAAUACCGGAUACGACCCUCGGCGGCAUCGCCAGGGGGUGGAAAGAAUUUCGGUCAAGGAUGGACUCGCGGCCUAUCAGCUAGUUGGUGAGGUAACGGCUCACCAAGGCGACGACGGGUAGCCGGCCUGAGAGGGUGGCCGGCCACACUGGGACUGAGACACGGCCCAGACUCCUACGGGAGGCAGCAGUGGGGAAUAUUGCACAAUGGGCGCAAGCCUGAUGCAGCAACGCCGCGCGAGGGAUGACGGCCUUCGGGUUGUAAACCUCUUUUAGUAGGGAAGAAGCGAAAGUGACGGUACCUGCAGAAAAAGCACCGGCUAACUACGUGCCAGCAGCCGCCGUAA
rnacentral:rRNA from 1 species